GCAGAGCCUGGGCAUGCGGCGAGCCACCCCUGCCACCCCUUUCCCGCUGGAAACCACAGAUGGCAAUGACAGCAGUAGUCCCCUGGCAGCCACACACCCCUCUCCAAGAACCCCAGCGUGCCACCUGCCAGAGCCUGCAGCUCCCACACCCCUCUCAUGCCUCCAGCACAGCCCUGCCACCACUUGCAGAGGAAGCUGAGACCAGAGCACUGAAGUAACCUGCCCAAGACUGCACAGCUUGCUGGCAGAGGAGCAGAGCCUGCGGCACGGCCUCUGUGUUACACUGUGGGCCCUGAGGAUGAGGACUGGCCUGGAGUCCCUUUGGGUCUGCAGAGCAAUGCCUGGCACAGAGCAGGCCCUGACUGGGGCUGCAGAGUCACUAAGUCCCUGCAUGGGGGACCAACUGAUGCAGGCUCUGAGGUCCCAGGAUUCUGUGGAGAUUCACAGGGGACCUAGGACCCUCGGAGCUGCCCUCUGAAUUCAAGCAGUGGUGCCUCCUGUGCUUGUCAGGCAGGAUGAUCUGUGGGGCCUGUGGGCUCUGACCUCACUCUGCAGCAGCAAAGCCCAGAGGCCUCACUUUUUCAUGAACCAGCACAGGCUCUCCUGAGAGCCCUGGAGGGAAGGCUCCGGCUAUACUGCCUCCUGGUGUGAGGAGGCUUCUCUCUUGUCUGU
rnacentral:lncRNA from 1 species